rnacentral:rRNA from 1 species
GCUGGCGGCAGGCCUAAUACAUGCAAGUCGAGCGCGCCCUUCGGGGUGAGCGGCGGACGGGUUAGUAACGCGUGGGAACGUGCCCUUCUCUAAGGAAUAGCCACUGGAAACGGUGAGUAAUACCUUAUACGCCCCCCAAUCAAAUUCCAUUUGGUUGACGGAAAUUCUGUUGAAUGCCGGAUGGCAUUUGAUGGGGGGGAAAGAUUUAUCGGAGAAGGAUCGGCCCGCGUUAGAUUAGAUAGUUGGUGGGGUAAUGGCCUACCAAGUCUACGAUCUAUAGCUGGUUUUAGAGGAUGAUCAGCAACACUGGGACUGAGACACGGCCCAGACUCCUACGGGAGGCAGCAGUAGGGAAUCUUGGACCAUGGGCGCAAGCCUGAUCCAGCCAUGCCGCGUGAGUGAAGAAGGCCUUAGGGUCGUAAAGCUCUUUCGCCUGUGAUGAUAAUGACAGUAGCAGGUAAAGAAACCCCGGCUAACUCCGUGCCAGCAGCCGCGGUAAUACGGAGGGGGUUAGCGUUGUUCGGAAUUACUGGGCGUAAAGCGCGCGUAGGCGGAUUGGAAAGUUAGAGGUGAAAUCCCGGGGCUCAACCCCGGAACGGCCUUUAAAACUCCCAGUCUA